rnacentral:lncRNA from 1 species
UUUACCUUAUAUUAUUUAAUUCUAGUCAAACCUCCUACCCUAAAAUAAUUAAGGAUAUUUUAGUAAAUUUAUAAAUUACAAUACAAUACAAUACAGUCAAACCAAACAAUAAAAAUGUUAUUAAACAACAACAAACAAUACAGUCUAGCCAAACAUUGUAUCUACCAUACAAUACAGUACAAUAGAGUACAAUACAAUACAAUACAUUAUGAAACAAUGGGUAACAAUGAUCCAAACAGAGUGUUAG